UACAGAGGUGGCAAGCGUUGUUCGGAAUUACUGGGCGUAAAGGGCGCGUAGGCGGCCUACUAAGUCAGACGUGAAAUCCCCCGGCUUAACCUGGGAACUGCGUCUGAUACUGGAAGGCUUGAGGAUGGGAGAGGGAUGUAGAAUUCCAGGUGUAGCGGUGAAAUGCGUAGAUAUCUGGAGGAAUACCGGUGGCGAAGGCGGCAUCCUGGACCAUUACUGACGCUGAGGCGCGAAAAGCUAGGGGAGCAAACGGG
rnacentral:rRNA from 1 species